GGGGGAUAGCCCGAAGAAAUUCGGAUUAACACCGCAUAAAAACACAGAAUAGCAUUAUUCAAUGUUCAAAUAUUUAUAGGAUUAAGAUGGGCAUGCGUGUCAUUAGCUAGUUGGCGGGGUAACGGCCCACCAAGGCGACGAUGACUAGGGGAUCUGAGAGGAUGACCCCCCACACUGGUACUGAGACACGGACCAGACUCCUACGGGAGGCAGCAGUAAGGAAUAUUGGUCAAUGGAGGCAACUCUGAACCAGCCAUGCCGCGUGCAGGAAGACGGCCCUAUGGGUUGUAAACUGCUUUUAUCUGGGAAUAAACCUUUUUACGUGUAAGAAGCUGAAUGUACCAGAAGAAUAAGGAUCGGCUAACUCCGUGCCAGCAGCCGCGGUAAUACGGAGGAUCCAAGCGUUAUCCGGAUUUAUUGGGUUUAAAGGGUGCGUAGGCGGCCUGUUAAGUCAGAGGUGAAAGACGGUAGCUCAACUAUCGCAGUGCCUUUGAUACUGACGGGCUUGAAUAAACUAGAGGUAGGCGGAAUGAGACAAGUAGCGGUGAAAUGCAUAGAUAUGUCUCAGAACACCGAUUGCGAAGGCAGCUUACUAUGGUUUUAUUGACGCUGAGGCACGAAAGCGUGGGGAUCAAACAGGAUUAGAUACCCUGGUAGUCCACGCCCUAAACGAUGAAUACUCGCUGUUAGCGAUAUACAGUUAGCGGCUAAGCGAAAGCGUUAAGUAUUCCACCUGGGGAGUACGCUCGCAAGAGUGAAACUCAAAGGAAUUGACGGGGGCCCGCACAAGCGGAGGAGCAU
rnacentral:rRNA from 1 species